rnacentral:rRNA from 1 species
GGAAACGACUGCUAAUACCCAAUAAGCCGCAAGGUGAAAGAUUUAUCGCUGGAAGAGGAGCUCGCGUCCGAUUAGUUAGUUGGUGGGGUAAGAGCCUACCAAGGCAGCGAUCGGUAGCUGGUCUGAGAGGAUGAGCAGCCACACUGGGACUGAGACACGGCCCAGACUCCUACGGGAGGCAGCAGUGGGGAAUUUUCCGCAAUGGGCGAAAGCCUGACGGAGCAAUACCGCGUGAGGGAGGAAGGCUUUUGGGUUGUAAACCUCUUUUCUCAAGGAAGAAAAAAAUGACGGUACUUGAGGAAUCAGCAUCGGCUAACUCCGUGCCAGCAGCCGCGGUAAUACGGAGGAUGCAAGCGUUAUCCGGAAUUAUUGGGCGUAAAGCGUCCGCAGGUGGCAUAUCAAGUCUGCUGUCAAAGACCGAAGCUCAACUUCGGGCAGGCAGUGGAAACUGGUAAGCUAGAGUACGGUAGGGAUAGAGGGAAUUUCCAGUGUAGCGGUGAAAUGCGUAGAGAUUGGAAAGAACACCAGUGGCGAAGGCGCUCUACUGGACCUGUACUGACACUCAGGGACGAAAGCU